rnacentral:rRNA from 1 species
AGCGAACGCUGGCGGCAGGCUUAACACAUGCAAGUCGAGCGGGCCCUUCGGGGUCAGCGGCAGACGGGUGAGUAACACGUGGGAACGUGCCCUUCGGUUCGGAAUAACUCAGGGAAACUUGAGCUAAUACCGGAUACGCCCUUUUGGGGAAAGGUUUACCGCCGAAGGAUCGGCCCGCGUCUGAUUAGCUAGUUGGUGGGGUAACGGCCUACCAAGGCGACGAUCAGUAGCUGGUCUGAGAGGAUGAUCAGCCACACUGGGACUGAGACACGGCCCAGACUCCUACGGGAGGCAGCAGUGGGGAAUAUUGGACAAUGGGCGCAAGCCUGAUCCAGCCAUGCCGCGUGAGUGAUGAAGGCCUUAGGGUUGUAAGCUCUUUUGUCCGGGACGAUAAUGACGGUACCGGAAGAAUAAGCCCCGGCUAACUUCGUGCCAGCCGCCGCCGUAACAC